rnacentral:rRNA from 1 species
UUACCGAGUUUACAACUCCCAAACCCAAUGUGAACGUUACCAAACUGUUGCCUCGGCGGGAUCUCUGCCCCGGGUGCGUCGCAGCCCCGGACCAAGGCGCCCGCCGGAGGACCAACCAAAACUCUUAUUGUAUACCCCCUCGCGGGUUUUUUAUAAUCUGAGCCUUCUCGGCGCCCCUCGUGGGCGUUUCGAAAAUGAAUCAAAACUUUCAACAACGGAUCUCUUGGUUCUGGCAUCGAUGAAGAACGCAGCGAAAUGCGAUAAGUAAUGUGAAUUGCAGAAUUCAGUGAAUCAUCGAAUCUUUGAACGCACAUUGCGCCCGCCAGUAUUCUGGCGGGCAUGCCUGUCCGAGCGUCAUUUCAACCCUCGAACCCCUCCGGGGGGUCGGCGUUGGGGAUCGGCCCUCCCUCUGCGGGGGCCGUCUCCGAAAUCCAGUGGCGGUCUCGCCGCAGCCUCUCCUGCGCAGUAGUUUGCACACUCGCACCGGGAGCGCGGCGCGUCCACAGCCGUUAAACACCCAACUUUCUGAAAUGUUGACCU